rnacentral:rRNA from 1 species
UGUAAGUAAGCUUUGAUCCGGAGAUUUCCGAAUGGGGGAACCCAACUUGUUAUGCAAGUUAUCACCUAAUGAAUAUAUAGUUAGGUUGAAGGUAGACGUUGUGAACUGAAACAUCUCAUUAGCAACAGGAAUAGAAAGAAAAAUCGAUACCGUCAGUAGCGGCGAGCGAAAUCGGUAGAGCCCAAACCAAAGUGCUUGCACUUUGGGGUUGUAGGACUGACAUUGUGGAGUUACAAAGUUAACAUUUAGCAGAAUCAGCUGGGAAGCUGAGCGAGACAGGGUGAUAGCCCCGUAUGCGAAAAGUGUUGACCUCCCGUCAGGAUCCUGAGUACGGCCGGACACGUGAAAUCCGGUCGGAAUCCGCGAGGACCAUCUCGCAAGGCUAAAUACUCCCUAGUGACCGAUAGUGAACCAGUACCGUGAGGGAAAGGUGAAAAGCACCCCGGAAGGGGAGUGAAAAAGUUCCAGGAUCCUGAGUACGGCCGGACACGUGAAAUCCGGUCGGAAUCCGCGAGGACCAUCUCGCAAGGCUAAAUACUCCCUAGUGACCGAUAGUGAACCAGUACCGUGAGGGAAAGGUGAAAAGCACCCCGGAAGGGGAGUGAAAAAGUUCCUGAAACCAUGUGCCUACAAGAAGUUAGAGCCCGUUAAUGGGUGAUAGCGUGCCUUUUGUAGAAUGAACCGGCGAGUUACGAUACCAUGCAAGGUUAAGGUGGAAAGACCGGAGCCGUAGCGAAAGCGAGUCUGAAAUGGGCGAAUUAGUAUGUUGUUGUAGACCCGAAACCAGGUGACCUACCCAUGUCCAGGGUGAAGGUGCGGUAAAACGCACUGGAGGCCCGAACCCGUGCAUGUUGAAAAAUGCUGGGAUGAGGUGUGGGUAGCGGUGAAAUUCCAAUCGAACUUGGAGAUAGCUGGUUCUCUCCGAAAUAGCUUUAGGGCUAGCCUCGGAAUGUAGCGUGUUGGAGGUAGAGCACUGUUUUGGUGCGGGGCCCAUCUCGGGUUACCAAAUUAAGAUAAACUCCGAAUGCCAAUCACGUAUGUCCGGGAGUCAGACAGUGAGUGAUAAGAUCCAUUGUCGAAAGGGGAACAGCCCAGAUCGUCAGUUAAGGUCCCUAAGUGUGUGUUAAGUGGAAAAGGAUGUGGAGUUGCAUAGACAACUAGGAUGUUGGCUUAGAAGCAGCCACCAUUUAAAGAGUGCGUAAUAGCUCACUAGUCGAGUGAUUCUGCGCCGAAAAUGUACCGGGGCUAAACACACCACCGAAACUACGGGUGCCACGUAAGUGGCGCGAUAGGAGAGCGUUCUAAGGGCGAUGAAGUCAGACCGUGAGGACUGGUGGAGCGCUUAGAAGUGAGAAUGCCGGUAUGAGUAGCGAAAGACAGGUGAGAAUCCUGUCCACCGUAUGACUAAGGUUUCCUGGGGAAGGCUCGUCCUCCCAGGGUUAGUCGGGACCUAAGGCGAGGCCGAGAGGCGUAGUCGAUGGAUAACAGGUUGAGAUUCCUGUACCAGGUGAACAUGUUUGAACGAUGGAGGGACGCAGAAGGCUAACGGAUCCCAGCUGCUGGAUAUGCUGGGUUAAAUAAUAAGUCUUAGAUCGAGUUAAAUGCUUUAUCUUUUAAGGACAAGUUAUGAUGAGGACCGAAAUAAAGUAGGGAAGUCCGUGAUGUCACGCUGCCGAGAAAAGCUUCUAGUUAGUGUUUACCUGCCCGUACCGCAAACCGACACAGGUAGUCGAGGAGAGCAUCCUAAGGUGAGCGAGUGAACUCUCGUUAAGGAACUCGGCAAAAUGACCCCGUAACUUCGGGAGAAGGGGUGCUCAGCGAAAGCUGAGCCGCAGUGAAUAGGCCCAGGCGACUGUUUAUCAAAAACACAGGUUUCUGCAAAAUCGUAAGAUGACGUAUAGGGGCUGACGCCUGCCCGGUGCUGGAAGGUUAAAAGGAGUGCUUAGCUUCGGCGAAGGUACGAAUUGAAGCCCCAGUAAACGGCGGCCGUAACUAUAACGGUCCUAAGGUAGCGAAAUUCCUUGUCGGGUAAGUUCCGACCCGCACGAAAGGCGUAACGAUCUGGGCACUGUCUCAACGAGAGACUCGGUGAAAUUUAAAUACCCGUGAAGAUGCGGGUUACCCGCGACAGGACGGAAAGACCCCAUGGAGCUUUACUGUAGCUUGAUAUUGAGUGUUUGUGCAGCUUGUACAGCAUAGGUAGGAGCCGUAGAUACCGGGACGCUAGUUUCGGUGGAGGCGUCAUUGGGAUACUACCCUCGUUGUAUGACCACUCUAACUCGCACCACUAAGCGUGGUGGAAGACAGUGUCUGGCAGGCAGUUUGACUGGGGCGGUCGCCUCCUAAAAGGUAACGGAGGCGCCCAAAGGUUCCCUCAGAAUGGUUGGAAAUCAUUCGCAGAGUGUAAAGGCACAAGGGAGCUUGACUGUGAGACUUACCAGUCGAGCAGGUACGAAAGUAGGGCUUAGUGAUCCGGUGGUUCCGCAUGGAAGGGCCAUCGCUCAACGGACAAAAGCUACCCUGGGGAUAACAGGCUUAUCUCCCCCAAGAGUCCACAUCGACGGGGAGGUUUGGCACCUCGAUGUCGGCUCAUCGCAUCCUGGGGCUGUAGUCGGUCCCAAGGGUUGGGCUGUUCGCCCAUUAAAGCGGUACGCGAGCUGGGUUCAGAACGUCGUGAGACAGUUCGGUCCCUAUCCGUCGCGGGCGUAGGAAAUUUGAGAGGAGCUGCCCUUAGUACGAGAGGACCGGGGUGGACGUACCUCUGGUGUAUCAGUUGUUCCGCCAGGAGCAUCGCUGAGUAGCUAUGUACGGAUGAGAUAAACGCUGAAAGCAUCUAAGUGUGAAACUCGCCUCGAGAUGAGAUUUCCCAUUCUUUAUGAAGUAAGACCCCUCAGAGAUGAUGAGGUAGAUAGGCUAGAAGUGGAAGUGCGG